rnacentral:rRNA from 1 species
UACGAAGGGGGCUAGCGUUGUUCGGAAUUACUGGGCGUAAAGCGCACGUAGGCGGGUUGUUAAGUCAGGGGUGAAAUCCUGGAGCUCAACUCCAGAACUGCCUUUGAUACUGAAGAUCUUGAGUUCGGGAGAGGUGAGUGGAACUGCGAGUGUAGAGGUGAAAUUCGUAGAUAUUCGCAAGAACACCAGUGGCGAAGGCGGCGACCUGGGUAGAUACUGACGCUGAGGUGCGAAAGCGUGGGGAGCAAACAGG